rnacentral:rRNA from 1 species
ACUUAUUUUAAUUAUAUUUCAAAAUAAUAAAUUUAUUAAAUUUAUUAUUAAAUCCAAUUUCAAAAAUAAAUUAAUUUAAUUCAUCUAUUAUUAAAAAUAAUUGUAACCCAUAUUUAAUCUUAAUAAUACUAUAUUUUGACUUGAAUUAAUUUAAAAUUUAAAUAAUUAAAAAUUUAAUUAAUAAUAAUCUUAUUAACAGCAAUACAUAAAUGUAAUAUUAAGUUUAUCUUAUUGUGGACUAUCAAUUACUAUACAGGUUCCUCUAAUUUUAUAAAAUACCGCCAAAUCUUUUUAAUUUAAUGAUUUAACAUUUAAUAUUUUAAAUUAAUUUAUUUAUUAUU